GACGAACGCUGGCGGCGUGCUUAACACAUGCAAGUCGAACGAUGAUGCCCAGCUUGCUGGGUGGAUUAGUGGCGAACGGGUGAGUAACACGUGAGUAACCUGCCCCUGACUCUGGGAUAAGCGUUGGAAACGACGUCUAAUACUGGAUAUGACUGCCGGCCGCAUGGUCUGGUGGUGGAAAGAUUUUUUGGUUGGGGAUGGACUCGCGGCCUAUCAGCUUGUUGGUGAGGUAAUGGCUCACCAAGGCGACGACGGGUAGCCGGCCUGAGAGGGGGCCCGGCCACACUGGGACUGAGACACGGCCCAGGCGCCUACGGGAGGCAGCAGUGGGGAAUAUUGCACAAUGGGCGAAAGCCUGAUGCAGCAACGCCGCGUGAGGGAUGACGGCCUUCGGGUUGUAAACCUCUUUUAGUAGGGAAGAAGCGAAAGUGACGGUACCUGCAGAAAAAGCACCGGCUAACUACGUGCCAGCCGCCGCAGUAA
rnacentral:rRNA from 1 species